rnacentral:rRNA from 1 species
AACGAACGCUGGCGGCGUGCCUAACACAUGCAAGUCGAACGGGAAAACCCGCAAGGGUGAGUACAGUGGCGCACGGGUGCGUAACACGUGGGUAAUCUGCCCAGAAGCCCGGAAUAACUCCCCGAAAGGGGUGCUAAUACCGGAUGAGACCACGGGGACUUCGGUUCCUGGGGGAAAAGGUGGCCUCUGUAUACAAGCUAUCACUUCUGGAUGAGCCCGCGGCCCAUCAGCAAGUUGGCGGGGUAAUGGCCCACCAAGGCUACGACGGGUAGCUGGUCUGAGAGGACGAUCAGCCACACUGGAACUGAGACACGGUCCAGACUCCUACGGGAGGCAGCAGUGGGGAAUCUUGCGCAAUGGGCGAAAGCCUGACGCAGCAACGCCGCGUGUGUGAUGAAGGUCUUCGGAUCGUAAGGCACUGUCGGGAGGGACGAAUAAGGGCCGGGUGAACAAUCCGGUUCGACGACGGUACCUCCAGAGGAAGCACCGGCUAACUCUGUGCCAGCCGCCGCUGUAACAC